AUUGAACGCUGGCGGCAUGCCUAACACAUGCAAGUCGAGCGGACGAAGGGAGCUCGCUCCUGGAUUAAGCGGCGGACGGGUGAGUAAUGCCUAGGAAUCUGCCUGGCCGUGGGGGAUAACGUCCGUAAACGGGCGCUAAUACCGCACACGUCCUGAGGUUGAACGUGGGGGAUCUUCGGACCUCACGCUUUCUGAUGAGCCUAGGUCGGAUUAGCUAGUUGGUGUGGUAAAGGCCUACCAAGGCGACGAUCCGUAACUGGUCUGAGAGGAUGAUCAGUCACACUGGAACUGAGACACGGUCCAGACUCCUACGGGAGGCAGCAGUAGGGAAUAUUGGGCAAUGGGCGAAAGCCUGACGGAGCAAUGCCGCGUGAGUGAUGAAGGUCUUCGGAUCGUAAAGCUCUGUAAGUUGGGAGGAAGAACAGUGAGAGAAUACCUUGCUGUUUUGACGUUACCAACAGAAUAAGCACCGGCUAACUACGUG
rnacentral:rRNA from 1 species